CGGACUAUGUGGGGGAGGGGGGCUAUAUUAGAUGGAAUACCCCAGUGUGCUGCAACAACUUUUAAAAUUUGUACAUAUGUUUUUAAGGCACAAUAUGUGAUGGAGUUUGAUAUGAUGAUCAGCACAACCUCAAGGUCUUGACUGAAUGAACAACUUAUCUGAUAUACUCCUAGUUCCAAUACUUUGCUGUAUAUUAUCACCAGCUCACAUGUCUGUUGGAUCACUUUGAAUGAUCAACAUUGGAGUGUGCACAAUAAAGUGUCUGUAUUAGGGAGGAGUCUAUAAGGACUGAAGUAAAAGGCACACUUUUGGAUAUUUGAAUCAUAGCAACUACAUAUACUGUUGAACGGCUACUGUAGGUUUCAAAUAAGUUUGAACAAUGAGCAACUGAAAAUAAAGAUUUAUUUAAUUUAAUUUGAAAC